UAUAAGGUGGUCGAUUUAAGUCGGUAGAUUGUAAAUCUAUGAAUAAGUAUAAAACUUUCUUGUAA
rnacentral:tRNA from 1 species